ACAUCGGCUUAGCUGACCCUUGCGAUUACCCCAAUGUGGGUAACUCGGUCGUAUAAUUUCUGGUAGUGGGGACUGCGUUCGCGCUAUCCCCGU
rfam:Ciona savignyi cont_46811, whole genome shotgun sequence.